GGAAAGCCAGCUGCCAUCAGGUGGGGACACUAGAGGAGCCCCAGGGAGCUCCCAUAUGGCAAGGAACUGAGACCUGCUGCCAACACCCAGGACCAAUUUGCCAUCCAUGAGAGUGGGCCGUCUCGAAAGUGGGAGAAUGUGGUCAGUGUUUCAGCCAGUGCUUGCUGCUGAGGCAGGAGAGAAUAAUUGUGUAAAGAGGGGGCUCCCGCAGUGCAGGACAGGAAGCCACCAUGUGAGCACCACAUCCACGUGCAGGUCGCAGGCUUCAUCAUGUCCUGAAUACCAUGCCUUAGCAUUUUAUAUUUCAGGUUUCUACUUCUACAUCUCCAGCCCUGAAUACUCAUGGAAUAUCGCUGUACCUAUGACAGGUUGCAUGAUUUUUCCCCCUCUGUGCACUCAAUUUGUGUAUUAUUGUAUCAUAUGACAUUCUGAAUCAAGUGCUGCUAGUACCAAGCUGCUAUCAUCAGCUGAUGCCAAAAAUAUUCGUUAUAACACUUCUCAGCAUGCAAGUGAGAGCACUUCAAAUCACACAGACAGAAUUUCCAGCCAUUGUUCUUUUCUUCUUUGCUUAUUAUACAGCAACAAGAAUCAAAACAAAAGGGGAUUUAUUAGAAAAUAAUGCUUCAGUAAAAUGUUAUAAAACAUGAGGUUUAUUGUUUGUGAAGAUAGAGUGAAAUUCAGUACCACAUUAUAGAUACCACCUCAGAGGCCUAUUUUCCCCUUCUUUUCUCUUUUCUCAAAUGUUUUUCAAGUGGCAUCUUUUUUUCAGUCUUUGAUUACAUUAAGGUGCAAACUAUUUAUCCAUCUGGAAAUAAGCAAUACUGUCAACAGAGAACCAGGAAAUGAAAAGUGCAGCCGGCCAUAUGCC
rnacentral:lncRNA from 1 species